AGACCGGCCACCAUGUCCAGCGCCGCUGUCUCCUCUUUCUCCGUUUCCCCGUUGCGACGGUGCUCGGCCACCAUCUGGCCUCCCUGGUGUGGUGGUUUGGUGCUGCUGCCCGUCGCCUCCCGCUUGUCCUUUUCUUCCCCAAUUUCUCGCCUCUCCCUUGCACGGUGGCACUCCAUCCUCUCUCCCCAAACCUUCCGGUAGCACACAAUCUGGACGGACGGCUCCCCCACCAAAUCCUCGCUCCCACCCCCGCGGAGGCCGCCCCCUCUUCUCCCUCCUUUGACCGCCGGGGUACCUACCGAUGUAGUCGCGCGGCAGACCCUCCUUUUCCUCCCGAUGCGGUUGGUGGCGCGGAGGAGGACCUGGGCGGCCUCUUUUCCCUCCCAAGGCGGCACGGAUUUGGGACGAGCCAACGCGGCCGGUGAUCCAUCAGGAGCACCUGAGCGGCCUCUUCUCCCUCCCAAGGCGGACAGGCGGCGCUGCUUGGGCGACGAUGUAGAGGCGGCCGGGAACGGCGGCCGGGGCUUGACCGAAAAGCUUCUGGUGAGGUGCAGCAUGUGUGGUCGCCUUGACAGCCGGGAGCAUACGAGAGUACUAGCGCCAGUGGAGAACAUCAGGGGAGGAGCGGCGGAUUUAGGUGGAGCAGGCCGGGAAGAGCUGCUGGCGAGGUGCGGCCGAUGUGGUCGCGGUUGUCCGUGUCGAGCUGCGGCCGCCGCGGGAGCAGAGGGGAGUACUGGCACCGGAGAGUAGCAACAGUGGAGGAGCGACGCCGAUGAGGCGGCUGCGAUUAGAGGCGGAGCACGCUCUGCAUCGGCAACUGAUGGAACUGCGAUGCCGCGGGGAUUGGGGACUCGAAGUGCGACAUGGAUAUCGCAAGUAUUGAGGACUCGAAGUGCGACAUGUAGCGGCGGUCGUCGGGGUGGCCGGGACAAAUUCUUCCUCGCCCAGGCUCUCCCUGACCGAGCUCCUCGGCGUCCGGUGGCUGUAACGUGGUGGGUCAGUUUCUGUUCUGGUGUCGCGGCCGUCACCGAGGUGUGGGCCUCUUGACGACCAGCAGUGUUGCCUGCUCCGCAUCUUGGAGUGCGGCGUUGCUGGAAGCCUCCCCGCCGCCACCUGGAAGACGACCAGGGCGUUUAUACACUUUUUAUGAACAGAUUGAAAAUUAUAUCAGGAUUUUGAUUUUGUUUUGGUUACUGCUCUACAGGAGUUUCGAAACUGGUUGAAUCCUUGGGCGAUGGAGGCCGUGCGAUGCACAUGGCCACACUUGAGAUCAGGUUGCUAGCCGCAGAUGGCCGAGGAGGCAGAUAGGGAGUUAGCAAGUAGCAGGAAGAACCAUGACAAGCUGCAGGGCGGAGCCCUUCCUGAUGAAGGUUUUUGAUGCACUAGCGUUAUGAAGUUCUGAAUUUUGGUUUGGCGUGCUUUCUUCAAUGGUACUCUGUAGUAAGUAGAGUAGCAUGUUAGAACAGAAAAACUACAUCAAUUAUUACUUCUUCAAUGCAUUGCAUUUUCUUUUCUUAAUCGUAUAUGCUUUUUAAUAUUCUGACUCUUACCAAUAUAUGGUUUAGGGUUUUAGAUUGCAACAUGGUGAAGGAGCAUACGUGGAUCACCCGAUUCACCUACAUAUGGCUUUAGUAGGCAACCAUUUAAUAUCUGUGGUAACAUAGCUUUUUAUAUAGAUUUUUGUAUUAAUGGGGUUUAGGUAGACUUUUUUCAUAGAAGGGUAAACUGAAAUCUUAACAUCUUUUAACAUAUGUGGUAGCAUAGCCUUUUUUUGUCUAGAUUUGUAGAAUGAUAUAACUGAAAUCUAAGCUGAUCAUAUGUAUUCAAAGGCCAGUAAAGAGUAUUCUGCACCGUCUUUUUCGUUUAUCUUGAAUUUUCGUCUUGCUCUGAAAUACGCGAAAAUCUAUUCAUAAAGUAUUUUAUCUUCUUGGUCAUGUCAUCAUGUGUAGUAAUAUUUACAUUUGGGUGCAAGGAAGUAUUAUCAGUGUUUACCAUCUGUUUUUGGCCUCAUUGACGCUACUCAAUACUGACCAGGCUAAUUAAAUAGACAAGCACAAAUAUCAUUAACCUCAAUGUUACUCUAUGAAAUAAAACUUAAUAUUGUAACCCAGCUUCUGAAUUGUCCAUCUGUACUGUUGUGGUGCCUUCUAGCGUUAGAUGUGUGAUUUAAUCUGCUCAUAUUUCUAACAUAGUUUUUUUUCAUGUCGCGAAAUUCUCAAGUCCGGUAUCUAAGCAACAGAGGGUGUAAUGACCAUUCUCGUGAGAUGGUCGAACUUCUUAUUAACACUUUCAUGGUAGGCUACACCAGAAGAACCCAUUGUAGAACUACUGUUCUCUAGAAAUUUCCUUUUCUAUAAAAUAUUGAUUCUGUAUCAGUGAUAAUAGAAGGAAUUCAUUCAUAUCACGUGUAAUCUAUUAUUUUUUGUGUCUUAUAAUUUUAAGAGUAGUUUGUGUGGAUUAGGUAUCGUUUAAUUGUUUUAAUACUGGUGUUCCUUUUGACAUCCAAGUAUUUUGUGACAUCUCUCCAAAUCAACUUGCUACUGGACAAUCUUAUUGAUCUCAGCUUACAGUAUUUUUCAAGGCUGUUCAAUUCUGUACUGAGACUAUUGCAGAAACCAGUUCCGCUAUAUAGUAUAAUCCUUGCCAUUUUUUGUUUUACAUUCUUCACUGUUUAUUUUUUCAUGAUUAUUAUUACUCUAAUACCAACUCGAGUGCCUUCAUACAAUUGAGCUGAAUGUGACUAAUAACUUAUGGAUUCAGCCUGACGCCUCUUUGUUUUGUCCAUCAAGUCCACCUACCUGAAGGUAGCCCUUCUCUACCACAUACCACAGGUGCAUUAGUAGAUGUGUUUGAUAUAGAAAACCCUAUUUGUUCACAAUCUGAAGAAAUGCUCGCAUGGGCUAAUCUCUUUUUUCAACUAAAGCUUCUGGGUCAUAAUAUAUAUGUAUUUGUCUACUAUGGUGUUCUUGGAGAUACAGUCUGAGGUCCAAAGAUGCAAGCUGGCCAUUUUUGUUAGAAACCUGGUCAGAUGAUACAUUGACAUGCCUUGCCGAUAACAAGUGUUGUUUACAGGAUGUUGUAAGAAAAAGAAUGGCAUCUCCAAAUAAUACUAAAUAACUCACAGUAGAGAUGAAAGAUCUUCGUAAGGUUCAUCAUGUCAGUCUGGUAUGCCAUUUUACAGUUCUCAUAGGAUACCUAAUCUAGAUUAUAUCUCAAAACUCCUGUUGUUUCUUAUUUAUUUGGUGACCAGUGUUUUGUUAAAUGUGUGUGUAGUUUUAUUUUUUGCGGAAACAAAAUGUGUGUGUAGUUGAUUGGCUAUGCAGGAAGGAUGACUUGUUCCUGUUUUAUGGGUACUCCGAAAAGUUACAUCUAAAAACCAUCUUCAUGAUCCUCAAAGCAAAAGUGUUCUAUGGCCAAGAAUUCGCUCCUUUGUAUCAGUAUCUUGAUGGUGUUUUUUUUUCUGUUUUGAGGAAGAGAGAACUUCAUUUCAUAUGAUAUGAAAAUUCUUGAAAUCAUCUGGUACAAAAGACUGACACUGUUUCUUUGUACAGGAGCUUGGUGUAACCAGGAACUAACCAAACUAUUGAUUGUUGCAUAAAGAGCUACCACAUGUGCGACACGAAUUAACUCUCUCUUCACCUUGGUGACCUUCAGACUGGACAACGGCUGCACAAUCACUCUCAAAAUUAAAUGGGCCAUGGCACCAGGAGCAGCAAGGUCGAGGCCCUCCCUGAGAGCAUUCAGUUCAGCUUUCCUAGCAUUCAGGCAAUUAGCAAAGCAACAUCGCCUGAGGUGUAGAGUCAGUUCGGGUCAUAGAGAGGCCAGCAGGAGAUCUUCUCAGCUUUGUGGAGGUAGCCCACAUAGGGGCAUCAUUGAGCAGGCUAGCGGCGACCACCAUUGCUCAAAUGCUCCUUCCAGGGAUGCUCAGCAUCCUCCCAACAGAAUAACAAAUCCACAACUCCAACAAUGAGGAGUGAAGAAGAAAAUCAAUACACUGAUGCUCCCUUCGGCGAUGAAGCAGACUCCACACCCUCCAUCGAUUUCUUCAGCAAAGGCCUACAACUCAUCAUACUUUCCUCCGUCCAUGGGGACAAUGCCGCCGAGCACUGAUGAGUCAAACACCAAGCAACAUCAGCACUACCAGUCAUACCAUCCUACUAUGCAAUUUCCUCCAGACAUGUAUCACCAAAAACAUGUUGUGCUUUAGGUGAAGUAGAACCUGAUGUCUUCUACAUAUCACACAUGUAAGAUGAUGCCAUUAACUAUGUAGUAAGAUGUAAUUAUGUCUUAGUGCUUAUCCAAGGCAAUCCCAUGAACUAUGUAAUUAAGUCUAAUUAUAUAUCACCGCUACUGUCCAUCAUUG